AUUGUUUCAAGUGGUUUCAGAAGAUGAACAUCACAAGAUAUAAAGAAAAGACCCUAAGUCCUAAGAUUGAGAAGAAGAGUGGCUAUGGUGGUGGGAUGAGGCCUGAGGAAUCUCAAGACCAUUGUUGAGUUCUUAGCCGAUGAGCUUAUCAACGCUGCCAAGGGCUCUUCAAACAGGUACCAAUGUUGUCUCUAACCAACGUCACAUUGGAUCUCUUCUCUUUAAUCUCCUAAAUGACACCCUUCUUUAAAAAAAGGAUAUCUAGCUCUCUGCUUCGGAAAAUUGAAUUGUUUGUUGUGUUGUUGGGUUCGUUUAACAAUUCAGGUUAUAAGUGUUCAAAAUUGUGAAAUGUGGGGCGUCUUUGUUGUAUGCGCCUCAAUUUCUACAAUUUAUAAAAUAGUCGUUUUCCACUUGAGGCUGAAGGAGAAGAAACUAGAACAACUGUUUCUUCAGUGGAGCGAGGAUGACAAAAGACUUAGCAAUAUUUUUAAUGUUUUUUUCUUUUUAUAUAUAAGUAUACAACAGCGUUGGUGUUUUUUUUUCAUCUGAAUACGAAGAAUAAAUUAAAGAUUACUAAUUUGA